rnacentral:rRNA from 1 species
ACUCAAAGGAAUUGACGGGACCCCGCACAAGCGGUGGAGCAUGUGGUUUAAUUCGAAGCAACGCGAAAAACCUUACCAAGUCUUGACAUCCCAUUGAUCGUCCUAGAGAUAGGAUUUUCCUUCGGGACAAUGGUGACAGGUGGUGCAUGGUUGUCGUCAGCUCGUGUCGUGAGAUGUUGGGUUAAGUCCCGCAACGAGCGCAACCCUUGCUUUUAGUAGCCAGCACAUAAUGGUGGGCACACUAGAGGGACUGCCGCGGACAACGCGGAGGAAGGUGGGGAUGACGUCAAAUCAUCAUGCCCCUUAUGAUUUGGGCAACACACGUGCUACAAUGGCUGUAACAAAGUGAAGCAAAGCCGUGAGGUGGAGCCAACCACAAAAAAGCAGUCUCAGUUCGGAUUGUAGUCUGCAACUCGACUACAUGAAGCUGGAAUCGCUAGUAAUCGCGAAUCAGCAUGUCGCGGUGAAUACGUUCUCGGGGUUUGUACACACCGCCCGU